AAGUCGUAACAAGGUUUUCGUAGGUGAACCUGCGGAAGGAUCAUUAGUGAAUCAUCGGAUUCCUCUGCAAAGAGAAGGUCCGGAUCUACUACCACACACACUUGUGCACUUGUCACUUUUUACAAUUCAUUUUGUAUAACACUUUUGCAUUGAAACCAGUCUUUAGAAAAAAAAGUGAUAAAGAAAGAAAAACUUUCAGCAAUGGAUCUCUUGGUUCUG
rnacentral:misc_RNA from 1 species